AGAAUCAACGCUGGCGGCAUGCCUAACACAUGCAAGUCGAACGCGACUGAGGUUUCGGCCUCAGUUGAGUGGCGAACGGGUGAGUAACACGUGGGUGACCUACCUUUGAAUGGGGGAUAACGUCCCGAAAGGGACGCUAAUACCGCAUAACAUCCUGCCCUUGAGCGGGUGGAGAUCAAAGCCGGGGAUCGCAAGACCUGGCGUUUGAAGAGGGACCUGCGCCCGAUUAGCUAGUUGGUGAGGUAACGGCUCACCAAGGCGACGAUCGGUAGCCGGCCUGAGAGGGCGGACGGCCACACUGGGACUGAGACACGGCCCAGACUCCUACGGGAGGCAGCAGUGGGGAAUUGUUCGCAAUGGGCGCAAGCCUGACGACGCAAUGCCGCGUGUAGGAUGAAGGUCUUCGGAUCGUAAACUACUGUUGCCCGGGACGAAUAGCUCCGACCUAAUACGUCGGAGUCUGACGGUACCGGGUGAGGAAGCCCCGGCUAACUCUGUGCCAGCAGCCGCGGUAAUACAGAGGGGGCGAGCGUUGUUCGGAAUUACUGGGCGUAAAGGGCGCGUAGGCGGCCUUUUAAGUCGAACGUGAAAUCCCCGGGCUCAACCCGGGAACUGCGUCCGAGACUGGAAGGCUCGAAUCCGGGAGAGGGGUGUGGAAUUCCAGGUGUAGCGGUGAAAUGCGUAGAUAUCUGGAGGAACAUCGGUGGCGAAGGCGGCAUCCUGGACCGGUAUUGACGCUGAGGCGCGAAAGCCAGGGGAGCAAACGGGAUUAGAUACCCCGGUAGUCCUGGCCCUAAACGAUGAAUACUUGGUGUGGCGGGUAUCGAUCCCUGCCGUGCCGAAGCUAACGCAUUAAGUAUUCCGCCUGGGGAGUACGGUCGCAAGGCUG
rnacentral:rRNA from 1 species